rnacentral:rRNA from 1 species
UAACGAAUCUUCCGCAAUGCACGAAAGUGUGACGGAGCGACGCCGCGUGAUGGAUGAAGUCCCUCUGGGACGUAAACAUCUUUUAUGAGGGAGAAAGUUUAUUGAUAGUACCUCACGAAUAAGGGGUUGCUAAACUCGUGCCAGCAGCAGCGGUAAUACGAGUGCCCCGAGCGUUAUCCGGAAUCAUUGGGCGUAAAGGGUGUGUAGGUGGCAUUGUUAGUCGAUUGUUAAAACCUGGGGCUUAACCCCAGAUGUGCGAUCGAAACGGCAAAGCUAGAGGAUGGCAGGGAUGUAUGGAACUCAUGGAGUAGGGGUGAAAUCCGUUGAUAUCAUGGGGAACACCGAAAGCGAAGGCAGUACAUUGGGCCACUCCUGACACUGAAACACGAAAGCGUGGGUAGCGAAUGGGAUUAGAUACCCACGUAGUCCCUGAGCGGGCUGGCAAGGCGCAU